UCAAAUCAGCACGGCCCUUACGUCCGGGGCUACACACGUGUUACAAUGGGGGGGUACAGAAGGCAGCUACACGGCGACGUGAUGCUAAUCCCAAAAACCUCUCUCAGUUCGGAUCGAAGUCUGCAACCCGACUUCGUGAAGCUGGAUUCGCUAGUAAUCGCGCAUCAGCCAUGGCGCGGUGAAUACGUUCCCGGGCCUUGUACACACCGCCCGUCAAGCCAUGAAAGCCGGGGGUACCUGAAGUACGUAACCGCAAGGAGCGUCCUAGGGUAAAACUGGUAAUUGGGGCUAAGUCGUAACAAGGUAGCCGUACCGGAAGGUGCGGCUGGAACACCUCCUUUCUGGAGC
rnacentral:rRNA from 1 species